CCUCAUUUCUAACUUACCCUUCUAAAGGUGUCUUAGAGAGACGAUUUCGAGGAGGGUUUUCAGAGGAAUAACAAGACAAAUUGAAGAUUAUUUACCAUUAUCUGAAGUUAUUGAGGUUUUGUGUUAGGCAUAUUGAAUCCAACUCGAGUAAGAGAUUCAGGACAUGAGAGAUGAAGAAAUUUCUCCACUGGGCUGCUUGGAGCAGUUAUGAGGGAGAGUUUAAGGACCAGUUAAAACAACUUGGCUCUUUGUAUGCUGAUGUUGCUAAUGAUUUGCUUAGGUAUCCACCACAAAAUUGGUGUAGAGCAUAUUUUGAUACAAUAUGCAAAAAUCAGAUGGUGGAAAAUAAUUUUACUGAAUCUUUCAACUUUUGGAUCUUAGAAACAAGAGGCAAGCUUAUACUGAACAUGCUUGAGGAUAUUAGAAUCAAGAUCAUGAACAGGUUGAGAGAGAAAGAAGAAGAGGUUAAACAUGGACUACUGAGUUUAGUCCUUAUUGCAUGAAGUUGUUUACCACUUAUCUGAACAUAGCUAAUAAUUCAUGUACUGUGAAUUUCAAUUGUGACAUUGGGUAUGAAGUUUCUAAGGGUGAUGAUAAACAUUCAGAGAACCUGGUAAUGAAGAAAUGCACCUGUAGAACAUGUCAGUUAACUGACAUCCAAUGUCCCCAUGCUAUCAAGGCAAUGGAAUACAAGAAAUUGGAUCCGAUCGCUGAAAUUAAUUGGUGGUACAUCAAGAAAGCUUACCGUAUGACAUAUAAGGCCAAGGUAAUGCCUGUUAGAGGUGAAAUAUUCUGGAAAGUGUUACCAGAACAUGCUAUUGAACCACCUGCACUAGUGAAAACAGUUGGAAGGCCAAAGGUUAAAAAAAUAGAGAGAAAGAUGAAACCUGUAAAAGGCAAGGAGAGUUGGCUCAAUCAAGGAAGGGAACUUGAAUGACAUGCAGCAACUGCGAAUCGUUGGACCAUAAUUCAAGGACAUGCAAGGUUGAUGAUAGUGGAAAAGGCAAGAAACAAACUAAGAGAAAAAAGGGCCAAUAUUGAAGAAGUCAUUGAAUCUGAAGUUGAAGAACCUGAAGUAGUUGUUGAAUAUGUUGGUUGUUCAGCACCUCAACCAAUACAAGAAGGUGAAUUUGUGUUCAUUCUCACGCCUAGAGUUCAGAGACAACAAUCAGAACCCUUUGGAUCUGUUAGACAGCCUAAAAGUGACCCAUCUUUGAUGCCUAAAAUUAUUUCUGAAGCCCAAACAAGACUGCAAAUAAGGCAAUCUCCACAAAAUCCAUCUAGGACAAGGGUGAUAUAUUUUACAGGAGACCAUAAUGGUGUUUGUGAACCCAUAUAUCUUCCAUACUCACCCCCUAGGCUCAGUUGGAAAGGUAAAGAAGCGGUCACUGGCAAUCAGUUGGAAGUUGAACCGAUAGAUCUUGCCAUGUUGGACUGCCAUAUCAGCUUAUUUAUAUUAUCAAACAGGUCCAAAAGGCCCUGUCACACCCCUUUUUUCACCUCAUUAACCCAUUUUAAAUAGAAUAAAGUGAUUUUAAAAGCUCAAAAGGGUUUUCAACUUUGAAGGUGACAAAAGAUUGCGUUUUGAAGGAAUAUUUAGGGUUGCCACCUGAUAUUUUGAUUUCUGUAUGCCAGGUCACCGUUUGAAAAAAAAUAAGAAUUGUUCUUCGAAAAACAUUUGGAUUCUAAAACUAGUUUGCACCAGAAAUUCUAGGUAAGAGGGGGAGAAGGUGUUAGGCAUUCCCCAAGUCCCGUACUAGUACGGUUGCAUACACGAUCAAGUUGGCUUUUAAAAUAUUUCAAUUGAGGUAAAAAAAACACAUAAAAGAAAAAUAAACACAAAAGAGGCUCGAGGUCUUUCUCACCUGAUGGGUUCUCAAUGCCUUCACCUUAUGUUUCUUGCAUUUUGAUGAUCUAACAAACUUACUGUUAAGAACCAGAUAGGGAACUUGACUCACUUGGUACACAUUUCAAAUGAACGAAGUUCAGUCUGAACUCCAGCUAAUGAACUACUACAAAGAGGAAUACGACAGGGACCUGAUCCCUUGGUGCUCUCUGACAGAAGUACAAGUCAACAGCUGGAACGCAAUUGCAGAGAGUGACUGCCUGCUACUGUUCACGCGACAGUGCAGCAGUCAUUUCCCAUUGAAGAGCCUUGUACUAAGAAUUGACAUCAUCCUUGUGAUGUCUUUGGUAGUAUAAUAACAUGAUGCAAGGCACAAGAUAUUCACUUGAGCAUUUAGUGAUAUUCUCUCAAGCAUUAAAAGAGUCAAUCAAGCAUUGAAGUCACAAGUUGUCAAGAACAAGAAGACAACUCCACUAAAGGAUCAGUUUCACAAUGAGUCUAUGUAUAUCCGUAGUUGAGUUGUAAUCUUGUUAUUUGCUCUUCAUUGUAAUCCUAUCUUGCUUUCUUAGAAGCUGU